rnacentral:rRNA from 1 species
ACGGAAGGCAGCAGUGGGGGAUAUUGCACAAUGGGGGAAACCCUGAUGCAGCGACGCCGCGUGAGUGAAGAAGUAUUUUGGUAUGUAAAGCUCUUUAAGCUGGAAAGAUAAUGACGGUACCAGCAGAAUAAGCCCCGGCUAACUACGUGCCAGCAGCCGCGGUAAUACGUAGGGGGCAAGCGUUAUCCGGAUUUACUGGGUGUAAAGGGAGCGUAGACGGUAAAGCAAGUCUGAAGUGAAAUCAUAGGGCUUAACCCUGGAAUUGCUUUGGAAACUGUCUAACUAGAGUGCCGGAUGGGUAGGCGGAAUUCCUAGUGUAGCGGUGAAAUGCGUAGAUAUCAGGAAGAACACCGGUGGCGAAGGCGGCCUGCUGGACGGUAACUGACGUUGAUGCUCGAAAGCGUGGGGAGCAAACAGGAUUAGAUACCCUGGUA